GGCUUUUUGUUAUUUAUAUAAGGUCGGACCUGCCCAUUGAUUUAUAAUAUUAAAAGGCUGCGGUAUUUUAACUGUACUAAGGUAGCAUAAUCAUUUGUCUUUUAAUUGAAGGCUAGUAUGAAUGGUUUCAUGAAAUAUAUUCUUUCUUUAUUUAAUUUAUUUGAAUUUAAUUUUUAAGUUAAAAAGCUUAAAUUUUUUUAUAGGACGAGAAGACCCUGUAGAAGUUAACUUACUUUAUUUAAUAAUUUAUUUUGUUUAUAAUAUUUUUUUAUAGAAAAGUAAGUUUUGUUGGGGUGAUAUUAAAAUUUUAAUAACUUUUAAUUUUUUUUUCAUAAAUUUAUGUUUUUUUGAUCCAAAAUUUUUGAUUAUAAGAUUAACUUACCUUAGGGAUAACAGCGUAAUUUUUUCGGAAAGUUCAUAUUGAUGAAUAAGUUUGCGA
rnacentral:rRNA from 1 species